CAUGUAGGCGGACUCGCAAGUCGGUUGUGAAAUCCCUGGGCUCAACCUAGGAACUGCAUCCGAAACUGCUUGUCUUGAGUAAUGGAGAGGGUGGCGGAAUUCCCGGUGUAGAGGUGAAAUUCGUAGAUAUCGGGAGGAACAUCAGUGGCGAAGGCGGCCACCUGGACAUUUACUGACGCUGAGACGCGAAAGCGUGGGGAGCAAACAGGAUUAGAUACCCUGGUAGUCC
rnacentral:rRNA from 1 species